rnacentral:lncRNA from 1 species
UGUUUUAUCGAUGCAUCACAAUUUACAAAGACAACAAAUUAUAUUCAUUCAAAAAAUAGCAUUUGUUCACAAGACAAUACAAAUUUCCUACUAUCUGGUCUGAUUUUGAAAAACAAAAUUAAUAUCAAAACAUCACAAGCAUAUCUAGAAGGCGCUAUAAGCAUUUAAAAAAAAUCGAGUAACAUGACUCCGUUGAAAAAGCACUACUGGGUGAUUUUAAUCUCUAACACUACACAGCCACUUCCACGCAGCUAAUUGGACCCAAGUAAUCCUGCUGAAAAACUUUAAUCUCCAGUAACACGGACUAACUGCAAAAUCUGCAAAGAAUCCAAAACACAUCAGAAUGAUAAUAAGUUAUAACAGCCAGCUCCCAAAUGAAUACAAAGAGCAAUAAUUAGUUGAUUUUCCAAGCAAUCAUCUGAUGCACACACCACUACUAUAUUAAGGUAGCAUAAAAAUGUGGGCAACACACGCUAAGAAAAAGCAGAAUAGUAAUACUGGAGGCAUACUUUCUUCAUCAAUUAAAAGUAAUUAUGUUAAUAAACUAGCCUUUUGCAUGUAAUGUGAAAUAAAAACCACUCAAAGGCAAGAGCAUUUUAGGGAAUUAAAUGAUCCACUUAGUACGAUAACCUUCACAUCUAGAUUAACAACACCUGGGAGUUGUGAAGAACAAUGACAUAUGUUGGAAUAAAAAAACAUGCAUUCUCUAAUUUACUGAUUAGCCUUCAUGGCAUACAAGGUACAUAAUUAUCUUUGCCCUCACUUCAGUAUGAGAUGGUAUGAAGAAUUGAGAUAGAGCAUGUGUUGAAAUUGUAUAUAUGCCACUUCCUGAUUAUUAUCUUUACUAGCAGGAUUACUAGCAUAUUCUCUAUUCCUGAUUAUUAUCUCAAUUGCUUUCUACAAAGAGCCCCCACAUGAAAAUGUAUUAAGUAUAUAAUUCAAGGGAAUAUACCUGAUCUCUUUUUUUGUAUAGUUCUGGUUGUAUACCUAACAUUUUAGUUUAAAGAUUACUAGCACACCAUUAAUUAAUUAUUCUUUCCAGUAGGCUUUCACCAAUGACGUGGUGUGAAUAAUACCGAGAAAUAGAGAAUAUGCUAGGAAUAACACUGAAAUUUUGAGACUGAACAAAUGCACGAUGUAGCAGAUCGAACACUCUUAAAUCUGAAGCGAAAAUAAUAUGCCAUCUAUUAGGUAUCUUAAAGAAAAAGCAUGCAAUCUUCACUUCCAUCGCUCCUUCAGAUUGCAAUUCUGUGAAUACGCAUUUCCAGAAAUACAAUAGUACAAAUCCAUCACUUCUACUAUAAUAAGCAAAAAAACUCAGCAUCAUAUAAACUGUUGCUUGCAAACCCCAAAAAGAAGGGAAAACAAAAGGAUUAUUCAUCCAAGUAUAUUAAGAAGUCAGGCAAUAAUUGAAUAAGACAUCAAGGCAGUAAUGAAGAAGUCAGGUAAUCAAUUCUUCUUUCUUUCAUUGUUACUUACAAUUUUCUUUUUGGAACAGAAGUAUGGACACACAAAGUAUACUCGGGAGACAAAGAAGGUAAACAAACUACAAAAGUUAAUUAUUGUUUCCAAGUAACGGCGUCAGCGCCUUUUUCGCCAUUUGGACUUUUGACCCAUACUGUAUGCAGAGCAGAAAACCAUCAUGGACAUUAAAGAGGUACAAUCAGGUAGAAGUGGAAGUGAACUGUUGCUAAAGAAAGCCAAGCAUGGUUUUCUUGCAUUUUUAAUUGUUGUUCUGAACAUAUCCUACUCUCCUUUCGAAUAGCCCAUGAUCUCUACCUGUUAAUUGGAGCACGCUAGCGGUAACUCAAAUAUCUAGACAUCUCUUCUACCUGCGACCUUUUUGUAUCUAAUUUUGUAUCUAAACAUCUCUUCUACCUGACACAAAGGCCAACCUUUUAGUACCACCUCUCCUAGAUUCACACAUGAAAAAAAUGCAUCGUACCUACAAACUGUAAAAUGGAUUGCCUAGCUCUUGUAUAUAUGAUAUGUAUGUGAAUCGGUUCUUGACAGACUAUGUCACCGAUAUAUUGAGACUUCUGUUAUGUGUUCCCUCCGUCCAGAUGUGAAGGACAGGAGAGGCACAAUCAAUUUUACAACUCAAAUAUUCUCCCCUUCAAAACAUACAGACCACUUCCCCUUAUUAGAUAAAAGAAAUAAACAAUCAGCUACAUCAACAAAAAGAUAUUCAUAUACUUUGCAACAACAUAUGCUCUUACCUACUUUAGAGAAAAAUCAAUUUAUCAAUCUAUAUGGCGCGGCAGCAAGACGCUAGUAUGUUGUAUGCGUGCAGAACAGGAACUUGUUCAGAAUAGUGACCUGCACUAUAGAUUGCAUUUAACAGUCUUGUUGAACCUGCAGUUUAGAUCACGGGUUCAGGGAACUUCUUGUAAACAAAUGUAAAGGUUCAUUUACUAGCUAUCUAGUCAUUGAGAAUCAAGCUUCUCUGAUUUUGAAUUUGAAUAUGUGUGUAAUGGGGAGUUUUUUUGCAUGCAGACAUACAUAAUGCUACACAUAGGCUGCAAUUAUCUCUCACCAAAUUUUGACUCUAUUCUACUCUAUUCAGCUUGUACUGCCCACUCACAAAACAAUAGUUGGGACUAUCAAUGCCCAUGGCUACAGAAUUCCUCUAAACAACACUUCUGUACUUGUUAAAUUACUCGAAUGUAACUAUCCCCCGUUUUCUGGAACCAACAAUUUUUAAAUCUAUGAUCCAUAACUAAAAAUGCAUUAGUAAACUGCAGGGCCAUGCUAGGAAAUCGGGAAGGUCUUCCUUGGUAUGAAUGCACCAAGUGCCUUUUCCAAACUCUGGGUGUUCCUGACAUCUUUAUGUAUUGGGUGAGAAUUAGAUGGCAGAACCUAUAACAAUUUGGUGAAAAUUAUAUGUUCAAAUACUUACAUGAACCUAUAAAUAUUUAGGUUGAAUCAUUACCUGUUUAUUUAUAUAGAUGAGCACGUUCAGUCAGAUAAAGCCCAUCCUAAAAAAAAAGAUGCCGACGGGAGAGAAAGAUGGGGUUUGAGGUGCUCACCUGGGCAAGGGAGGGCCUCUAGUGGUCCAAAUGCUGCAAAGGAGGUUGCCACAGGAUGCACAGCCGCGCCAGAGAUGUGGCAGAGGAGGUUGGGGUCGCCGCCGUGCAGCCCAACGCGGGCGAACACACUGAGCUAGGAGAAGCCAUCCAGAAGGUGGAGAUGGCGCGAGUCCGCGCGGUGUGCAAUGGAGCGAAGCCGCCGGAGACGUGCCGAGGAUGGACGCGAUCUGCAGCCGAAACCCUAGCCACAGGCUAGGCGUCACAGGCGAGCGCAGGGGAACGGGUGCGGCGGAUCCAACUGGCUUGGAGGACGAGGGGUCAGAGACCAGCUCAUCUAUGUGUUGCGCGGUGGUGGAGUCACCGGAACCGGCGGGCGUUGGCUGCGGCGUGAGGGAUGCGGCGGAUCUGGUAGCUACUGGUGCUGCGAGGUGAGAGGAGAGAAGGGGGGGGGCCAAUGGCGAGCAAUGACAGGAGGGAGGCGAGGAGAUGGUUGGUGGCGGCGAUGUGGGAGGGACGAUGGGGAAUCAGGAGGGGGCU